CACUGGACUAUUUUCAACAGGUGUUUUUUAGAGGACACCCACAAACCACAGUAAAUAUGGAUUGAAUGAUAGAAGUGCAAUGACCAAUUAAGAAGCAAUUAGAAAUCCACUGUAGUAAUCCAGCAAGAAAUAAUGGUAUCCUGGACUGAGGUGGUAUUAAUGGAAAUGAAGGGAACAGAUGAAUUUUGGAUCUACUGGAGAUAAAGAACUGAUGAGACUUGAUGACUGAGAAUGCACAAGUCGGGUGAGGAGAGGAAGGAAGAAACCAAGGACCACCAACAGGACUGAACAACUUGGCGGGUGAUGGUGCAUGUUAUGGAAAAGGUGGAUGAGAACUGACACGGGGGUGCAAAUCAAGAAUUUCAUUUUGGCAUGCUAAUUUUGAACUGCUGUUGAGAGGGUCAAAUGGAAACAGUGAGCCUAAAGACAGACAGUUCUCUGACUCUAGGCCCUCGUCUUUCCCUGGGCUUCUCAAGACCUGUGAUGUGGUGUGGCAUAAAGGGAUGAGCUGGGCUCAUAGGAUUUCCUACUUUCUGAGUCUGAACUGGAAAUAUUGAAUCAACCUGGCAGUUGGCAGCAGAGGAUAACCUGCAAGUCAUGAUUUGGGAAAAGAACCAUUAAGGACCAUGAUGAAUAGAUGACAUGGAACAGUAUGGUAGAGGCGGAGGACAUUCUUUGUGAGCAGUAAGGGCAGCUGGAAGAGAGAGGCAAGUUUAUGAGAAGCAGCUGUGUCUGGGACUAGACCUCAGGGUGGCUGUCAGUGUCUUGCAAUUGAGGUAUUUAACUGCUUUUGAGUCAGAUGGAAUCUCCUCUUUCAGAUUGUGAAGCAACAGCAUGCAAAUUGCUAGAAAGUCUGUUUAAGAAAUAACAACCAAACUCCUUCAGAAUGAGAAGGAGUCUCAUAAUUACGAAGAAGUAAUAUCAUAAUUGAGUUAUGUUUGGAAAGUUAGUAAAUUCCUCCUUUCUUGUCCAAGUCAUGACUUGUAGAAUAAAGACUUAUUCUGAAUCCACUUAUCCACUUUAUUAAUGGAGGCAAAAGGGCUCUCUGGUAAAGAUGAAUUGGAGUUUUAAGCUGGAAUGGGUUUCUCAGUGUCUCUGAUCUAAAUGACUGUAAAGACUCACAAGUCACCGUAGAGGAGUUGGGGGAAGUAGAAUCGUGACCUGGCAUAUCUGUUUACCAAGGUCUACAAAAUCUGCUAGCCAUGUAGAAAUCAAAAGCUCAGGGAGACAAAGAGGCAGCAAGAUAACAAGAGAGAAUAAAAGAUAGAGCCCUAUUACUUUUUCAAUAAAGGUCCUGGUAAAUUGGAUGGAUAGAUACAAGACUUUUCUUUAGUCUCACCAAUUGCCUCGUGAGGGAGGGAGUACAUAUUUGUUUCAAUAUUUUCUCUAGCAAGUAGAACAGAAGGUGAUAUACUUAUAAUUCCAAGGAAAUAUAAUGGAGGAUUAUUAUUUGCUAUAACAAUAUACAUAAAGAGUUUACAAGAAAUUACUCUGCAGAAUUUGGAUAUAAUAUAGUUAAAAACUUCAACAAAAUUAUCAUAUUUGGGGGCAAAAAUAAUUCAAAUUAAGGAAGAGUUAGUUAAAUGUUAUCCUUGCAGAGAGAAUUAAUUGCUCUCCCUGGAAGAUUUGAUUAGAACAAUAACAAUAACAAAGAAGAAAACAAUGUUUUCAAAAAAUUAACUUCAAAAAAGGCUCUGAGCCCAGAUAGUUUUACAAGUGAGUUCUUUCAACAUCUUAAAGAAGCAGGAGUUGCACAUUAUAGAAAUUGUUGCAGGACAAAAAUUAAAUCAACUAAUCAUUCCCCCAACAAGACAAAAAACAAAAAUAAAACCAACAAAAAUGAAAACUGAAACCCAAACCAAAAACUGGUGAAAUUUUCCUAAUUCAUGUGAUAUUCAAACUAUGCAAAUGUAGUAAAAUAAAACUAACAAACUAUUUUAUCCUAAAUGUAUGUACUAAUGUUCUAAAAACCCUACAAAACAUGGAGUUCAUAAGUGUACAAAAGAUAAAUUAUACUAUCAUUCGGUUGAUAUCAUUUCAGUAUAGUUUAAUGUUAGGAAUUCUAGGAAUAUAUCACAAUAGUAGGAUAAACAAGAAAAUUAUAUGAAAAUCCUAUUAAAUACUAAACAUAACAUACAACUACUACUACUUAUAAAAUCUGUAUGAAGUAGAUAGAGAUAGAUACUUAUUUUAUUUGGUAAAGUAUUUUCAUGUAAGGACCAUUAUCAUAUUUAACAAAAUACACUAUAGAAGACUUUUAAAUUAAAAUUACGAAUCAAAGAUACCUUCCAUAUCACUAUUACUUAGAUUGUUCUAAAAAUUCUAAGCAAUUAAGACAUGAAACAGACAUAAGUGUUAUAGCUAGUUGUAAAGAAAAGAAGACAAAUAUCAGCAAUUCCAAUAACAUUGUUCACUAAUAAGUACUGAGAAGUGUGGAAAUGCUAAAAGUUCCAGGAUGGGGAAAAUAGUCAAUUUCCAGGAAAAUGUGCCCUACAAAAAUGCAACCAGGCAGCAGAAUACAAUAGACACUAGUAUGGCAAUAUGUAAAUCAAUGGAUGUGUAACUGAUGUGAUUCUGCAAUCUGUAUACGGGGUAAAAAUGGGAGUUUAUAACCCACUUGAAUCAAAGUGUGAAAUAUGAUAUAUCAAGAACUAUGUAAUGUUUUGAACAACCAACAAUAAAAAAUUAAAAAAAAUGCAACCAGUGCUAAAGAGAAUUCAGAAAUAAUGCCUUUCCUCCUUUUUUUUCUUCUUCUUUUUGGUAUGAGGGAUUGAACCCACAGAGCCACAUCCCCAGCCCCUUUCUCUUUAUAUUUUAUUUUGAGACAGGAAGGCCUCACUAAAUUGCUGAGGCUGGCUUUGAACUUGAAUCCCCCUGCCUUGUCCUCCCUAGCUGCUGGUAUGUGCAUGGCACCUGGCCUAUCUACUUCAUACAAAUUUUAUAAGAAGUAGUAGUUG
rnacentral:lncRNA from 1 species